rnacentral:rRNA from 1 species
GAUCCUGGCUCAGGAUGAACGCUAGCGGCAGGCUUAAUACAUGCAAGUCGAGGGGCAGCAUGACUGUAGCAAUACAGUUGAUGGCGACCGGCAAACGGGUGCGGAACACGUACAGAACCUUCCUUCGAGCGGGGAAAUAGCCCAGAGUAAAUUUGGAUUAAUACCCCAUAGUAUAUUAGAGUGGUAUCACUUUGAUAUUAAAGAUUUAUCACUUGAAGAUGGCUGUGCGGCUGAUUAGGUAGUUGGCGGGGUAACGGCCCACCAAGCCUUCGAUCAGUAACUGGUGUGAGAGCACGACCAGUCACACGGGCACUGAGACACGGGCCCGACUCCUACGGGAGGCAGCAGUAAGGAAUAUUGGUCAAUGGACGAAAGUCUGAACCAGCCAUGCCGCGUGGAGGAUGAAGGUCCUCUGGAUUGUAAACUUCUUUUAUAUGGGACGAAAAAAGGGUUUUCUAACUCGUCUGACGGUACCAUAUGAAUAAGCACCGGCUAACUCCGUG